rnacentral:rRNA from 1 species
GAAGUCUAACAUGUACGCGAGUCAUUGGGCUCUAAACCUAAAGGCGGAAUGAAAGUAAAGGAAGCUUUGCUUUCUGAGGGAGGAUGGGCACGUCAGCCCAACAAGCGGUGCCCCGCACUCCCGGGGCGUCUCUUUCUCAUUGCGAGUGGAGGCGCACCUAGAGCGUACACGUUAGGACCCGAAAGAUGGUGAACUAUGCCUGGUCAGGACGAAGCCAGGGGAAACCCUGGUGGAGGUCCGUAGCGAUUCUGACGUGCAAAUCGAUCGUCAGAGCUGGGUAUAGGGGCGAAAGACUAAUCGAACCAUCUAGUAGCUGGUUCCCUCCGAAGUUUCCCUCAGGAUAGCUGGUGCCCGUGUGAGACGAGUCUCAUCCGGUAAAGCGAAUGAUUAGAGGCCUUGGGGCCGAAACGACCUCAACCUAUUCUCAAACUUUAAAUAGAUGAGAACUCCGGCUUGCUUGAAAGUGAAGCCGGAGAUUCGGAUCAGGGUGCCCAGUGGGCCAAUUUUG